rnacentral:lncRNA from 1 species
CAGGUUUUUGAGGAGUCCUUAGGGUCUUCUAUAUAUAAGAUCAGAUCAUCACCAACAGACAGUUUCACUUCUUUUUUUUCCACUUUGGAUAGUUUUCAUUUCUUUUUUUUCUUUUCUUUUUUUGCCUUGUUGCUUUCUCUAGGACCUCCAGUACUACAUUGAAUGGAAGUGAUUUGUUUUGUGGCCUAAGAUACGAUCUACUCUGGAGAACAUUCCAUGUGCUGAUGGAAAGAAUGGAUAUUCUAUAGCAGAUGGGUGAAAUGUUUGAGUAAGAGUAGAAAUUUUAUAUUUCAUCUGAAGAGCUGAAGAGUACAAUUAGAUUUUCUGCAGAUUAUUCAUUUCUGGGACCCAGAUGUAAAAGCCUCCUUCAGGUCUAAGAGAUUUGGCAAAGGUAUAAGACAUUGGGAGUCUUGAGCCAGCCUCAAGAAGUCUGGCUACAACUGAAGCCACCAUGUUAUGGAGAUCAUAUGGAGACACUAUAAAGACACAGAGAGAAGAUGUGCAAGGAGCCCCAAGUGUUCCAGUCCCAGCUGUUUGAGUAUUCCUAACACUGCACCAGACAAAGGAAUGAAGAAACUUGAGAUGACCUCAACCUCUGCUACCAUCUGUUUAUAACACCAUGAGAAACGCUAAGCCAGAGCCAACCAGCUAGCUCAGCUGCUCAUUAAUUUCUGAACCACAGAAGCAAUGAGAUAUACUAAAUGACUUUUUGUUUUUAACCAAUACGUUUUAGAAUAAUUUGUUAUGCAACUAUAGUAAGUAGGAAAGGGUACCUGACAGAAGGCAGGGGUGGCCAAAUAUUUCAUACAUUCAUUUAUUCAAAAAUGUUAUGACAACUUGUGUCAGAUACUAUGCUAGUCACUGGGUAUUCCAAUGUCGAUAGGAUGCAAUUCUUGUUCUCAAGAAAAUUUGCUCUCAAACUCACAGCCUAGUCAAUAAUAUGUAUCUACAUAAAAUGAUUAAGUGAAAUCACAAGAAUAGGAACAAAGGUAUGGGGAGUUAGCUUUUGAGCCUCUUUUAGGUCAAAUAAUCUCUGAUUCCUUAAACACUUCUUUAUGUUUUUGGACAUAAUUUUAUGUAGUGAGACAUUAAAAGGAGGAAGAGAUAAAACAUGCACUUUUCUCCUGAUAUCAGUUAUAUUAAUAUAUAUUAAACAAUGACAAAUA